CCUACGGGCGGCUGCAGUGGGGAAUAUUGCACAAUGGAGGGAACCCUGAUGCAGCGACGCCGCGUGAGUGAAGAAGUACCUCGGUAUGUAAAGCUCUAUCAGCAGGGAAGAAAAUGACGGUACCUGACUAAGAAGCCCUGGCUAACUACGUGCCAGCAGCCGCGGUAAUACGUAGGGGGCAAGCGUUAUCCGGAUUUACUGGGUGUAAAGGGAGCGUAGACGGUUUUGUAAGUCUGAAGUGAAAGCCCAGGGCUCAACCAUGGGAGUGCAUUGGAAACUGUAAAACUGGAGUGCAGGAGAGGUAAGCGGAAUUCCUGGUGUAGCGGUGAAAUGCGUAGAUAUUAGGAGGAACACCAGUGGCGAAGGCGGCUGACUGGACUGUAACUGACGUUGAGGCUCGAAGGCGUGGGGAGCAAACAGGAUUAGAUACCCUAGUAGUC
rnacentral:rRNA from 1 species